CACUUGCCACAGCUGUUGACCCUGACCAAAAUAUCUCAUGUGAUUAGCUUGGCUUUUGUUGAUCAGGUUCAGUUCACAAUCUUCUGACCCGUUGAAGAUUUGCAGUCCUUGCAUGUAAGAAUAAAUAAAACACCAAAAAAACAUAGAGAGGUUUAGCUAAAAUUGAUAAACAAAAGAACUCAAGAGAAUAAUGAAAUAAUCAAUAAAAAAAAAAGUAGGAACGAUCUGAGGAGGCAAAGUCCGGCGAGUAAACCAGCGACCAAAAACCCUAAAGAAACAAACGAAUAAGCCACCAUCAAGGGUUACUCGCCGCAAUAAACCUUCGGUGGCACAAAAUCACCACCGAGAGAGGCGAGAAGAGGCUCAAGCUUCCAACUUCAUAGAGAGAUACCAGAACAGACCAGAAAACCUCCACCACGGGCAUAGAGUACCAACACAGAACCACUGAGGCAUCUGACAAAGAGAGAUCCGAGCAAGUCCACAUCGGCGAGAGAUAUAGGAGAUACGAAGAUAAGAUGAGAUUAAGGAGAUGAAUACUCACACAUAUUUAUACAGAACAAACACCGCCUUUCAGAUCGAAACAAAGUAUUGAAGACGACAUGUGGGGGAGUGAAUCACUGGGAUUAAACACGAAGCCUUAACUCACGUUUCAGAUCGUGGGAAGAAACGCAAACGGCGCCGAGUCGUCAUCGCACGAAGUGGAAGAGACGACCUUUGUUUCUUUUCUGCAAUGAAACGCCGGGUUUCAUACUUAUGCGACACGUGUCGAAGCGAGAGAGUCCAACUUAUCUAGCUGGCAUCCUAUGUGGCUUCAUGAGAGUGAAGCAAACACUCUUUUAUAAUAAUAGAUAAUAGAUGGCUAUGGCUAAGUAUAAAACUACGUAUGAGCUAAGAACCAGACUUGCAUGAGCCCUCUCAGCCGAGGCUUCGUCGCAUAACCAGUAGAAGUUAUUCUGUUUCUAACUGUUUUGUCCACAAUCCUAGCCAAUUGACUCGGCAACUUUGGCUUCUUCAGAUGCUUCCGAUCGUUUCUCUCCCUCCAGAUUAUAUAUAUUGCAGUUUGAAAAAUCAGCCUUACCAACAGAUACUCAAGUCUCCCAUAGCUAUGGGUAGUAAGAAGUUCAAGAGUGCUCUCCCAGUCAGGAUCAGGCGGUCUCCCUAGCAGAGUGCCAACAACUUCAAGCCAUAGAGUGUAUGUGUAGGGGCACGCAAAAAACAAGUGAUCUCUUGUCUCAUUUGGCUCUCCACAAAAGAGACAUCCUUGUGGUUGGCCCCAAGCUCCUGUGCGCUCGCCGGUGGAGAGCCUAUUCCUUAUCGCCAGCCAAGUAAUAAACGCAAACCUCGGCACUCCCAAUUGGAACCACACAACUUCACUCCACUCCUUGAGACCACCAUGAAUCCGAAUUCUCUGCCAUGUCUCUGCUGUGAAAAAUUGUCUGCAAUACUCGGUUUCAUUUUUCCUCCACAUGACCACGUCAGGAGCGUGGUGAUUAACUUCCAUCUGAUGAUUCUCAAUCAUAUUGAUAAUUUCGCGCAUCUGUCUGUCCCGGCAUCUCCGAAAUCUCCAAACUCCAUCAGCAGUCCUUACAUCACUGAUCAGUGCUGCUCGAUCAAUGCCCAGUUUUUGAGUACCGGUUUCUCCUGCAAUCUCAAUCAGUCUGCUUCGUGGGUGCCACAAGUCUGUCCAGAAGCGAGCUGUCUGACCAUUGUGAACUUCUAUGCACACAAACUCCUUUGUAGUGAAAAAUUGCUACUCACAUGAGUUAUAUUAUAUGACUACACACUUCAAAAACUACAUAAUUUAAUAACAGAAAAAUGUAUGAUAAAUGUUGCAAACUACUUUUGUCUAGACAUUAACCUUUUUCAUAUAACCAUGAAUGAACUAGUUCUUACAGCUCGAACGACAGAGAAAUGCUUUAGAAUCCAUAGUUUUUUUUUUUUUUGCUAAAUUAUAUUAGAAUUCAUAGUUGUCCAGGUAAACUCUCUUUGACGAUGUAACAAAAUUGGGGAUUCAAGUAAUUGACAUUUUUGAUUGAUGAAAAAGUUGGUGUUGUGUUUUACUCAAAUUUAUAAGUAUUAUUUUUAUGACAUCCCCCCUCCAUGUGUAACCAAUUUGAUAAGGUAGGUAUGAUAUGUCUGUUGAAUAUAUUAUAAUGAUAAUAUUAUCUAUUCACCAAAUAAAGAGAUCGACUGAUUUCGAUGAAAAUAUUUUUUUAUAUAAUAAGUCAUAUACUAUUAGAUUUUAAAAAUUCACAUUUACUUUUGGAGGGAGAACCAAAGCAUUCAAAUCAAAAUUCAUAUUCUUCAAAAAAAAUAAAAUUCAUAUUCAAUAUUUCUUUUGUUUUGUAAUAUAUGAUGUUUGUCUAAAUAAACACAUAUUUAUUUAUUUUUUCUAAAAAAUGCCACCAAUUUAACUGAAAAUAUAAUUGGUUACUGUUUUGAUUCCAUUCUAUAUAGGAUAAUGUUUUCACUCUAUUUAUGAUGCAACAUCUCAAUGUGACAUAUUCCAUGUGACCCGUUAUAUCUUCACAUGAUCUUUCACGUCAUUCCAUGUGACCGGCUACCUCAGAAAGUAGAGCAUGAUCGAUGUGCAAAUGUUAUUUUUUUCGUUACUGAAUUACAUAUGUUAUUUUCUUAAAUGUUAUUAAGAAUUUGGUCAUCUACAGCUCUUUAUUUUAUUGGUAGUAUCCAAUGCACAGUAUCAACAAACUAUCGUUUUAUCGUGAAUCGAAUCUUAGUAUUAACAUCAUAACAUCCAUCGAAUCUUACAUUUUCUAAGUAUUAUUUAAUCCUUAAAACAAUCAUACCAAACUUAUUAAAAAGAAACCCGAAAAUGACACUUGAAGCGCUUACUUUUAACAACAGUUCCAUUUAUAAAUUUAGUUUGUCUCCAAUCUGAGGUUUUAAUUUAAAAAUAUACGAUGAAAUUAUAAGCAAAAACAUUCCACUUGCCACAGCUGUUGACCCUGACCAAAAUAUCUCAUGUGAUUAGCUUGGCUUUUGUUGAUCAGGUUCAGUUCACAAUCUUCUGACCCGUUGAAGAUUUGCAGUCCUUGCAUGUAAGAAUAAAUAAAACACCAAAAAAACAUAGAGAGGUUUAGCUAAAAUUGAUAAACAAAAGAACUCAAGAGAAUAAUGAAAUAAUCAAUAAAAAAAAAAGUAGGAACGAUCUGAGGAGGCAAAGUCCGGCGAGUAAACCAGCGACCAAAAACCCUAAAGAAACA
rnacentral:lncRNA from 1 species